rnacentral:tRNA from 1 species
GAUCCCGUAGCUCAUCAGGACAGAGCGACAGAUUCCUAAUCUGUAGGUAGGGGGUUCGAGUCCCUCCGGGAUCACCA